CGCUGAAGAGAGGAGCUUGCUCUUCUUGGAUGAGUUGCGAACGGGUGAGUAACGCGUAGGUAACCUGCCUUGUAGCGGGGGAUAACUAUUGGAAACGAUAGCUAAUACCGCAUAACAAUGGAUGACACAUGUCAUUUAUUUGAAAGGGGCAAUUGCUCCACUACAAGAUGGACCUGCGUUGUAUUAGCUAGUAGGUGAGGUAACGGCUCACCUAGGCGACGAUACAUAGCCGACCUGAGAGGGUGAUCGGCCACACUGGGACUGAGACACGGCCCAGACUCCUACGGGAGGCAGCAGUAGGGAAUCUUCGGCAAUGGGGGCAACCCUGACCGAGCAACGCCGCGUGAGUGAAGAAGGUUUUCGGAUCGUAAAGCUCUGUUGUAAGUCAAGAACGAGUGUGAGAGUGGAAAGUUCACACUGUGACGGUAGCUUACCAGAAAGGGACGGCUAACUACGUGCCAGCAGCCGCGGUAAUACGUAGGUCCCGAGCGUUGUCCGGAUUUAUUGGGCGUAAAGCGAGCGCAGGCGGUUUGAUAAGUCUGAAGUUAAAGGCUGUGGCUCAACCAUAGUUCGCUUUGGAAACUGUCAAACUUGAGUGCAGAAGGGGAGAGUGGAAUUCCAUGUGUAGCGGUGAAAUGCGUAGAUAUAUGGAGGAACACCGGUGGCGAAAGCGGCUCUCUGGUCUGUAACUGACGCUGAGGCUCGAAAGCGUGGGGAGCGAACAGGAUUAGAUACCCUGGUAGUCCACGCCGUAAACGAUGAGUGCUAGGUGUUGGAUCCUUUCCGGGAUUCAGUGCCGCAGCUAACGCAUUAAGCACUCCGCCUGGGGAGUACGACCGCAAGGUUGAAACUCAAAGGAAUUGACGGGGGCCCGCACAAGCGGUGGAGCAUGUGGUUUAAUUCGAAGCAACGCGAAGAACCUUACCAGGUCUUGACAUCCCGAUGCUAUUUCUAGAGAUAGAAAGUUACUUCGGUACAUCGGUGACAGGUGGUGCAUGGUUGUCGUCAGCUCGUGUCGUGAGAUGUUGGGUUAAGUCCCGCAACGAGCGCAACCCCUAUUGUUAGUUGCCAUCAUUCAGUUGGGCACUCUAGCGAGACUGCCGGUAAUAAACCGGAGGAAGGUGGGGAUGACGUCAAAUCAUCAUGCCCCUUAUGACCUGGGCUACACACGUGCUACAAUGGUUGGUACAACGAGUUGCGAGUCGGUGACGGCAAGCUAAUCUCUUAAAGCCAAUCUCAGUUCGGAUUGUAGGCUGCAACUCGCCUACAUGAAGUCGGAAUCGCUAGUAAUCGCGGAUCAGCACGCCGCGGUGAAUACGUUCCCGGGCCUUGUACACACCGCCCGUCACACCACGAGAGUUUGUAACACCCGAAGUCGGUGAGGUAACCUUUGGAGCCAGC
rnacentral:rRNA from 3 species